AUUUUCUUUCAUUAUGAAGCAGUUUUGCAGGUACAGCUUUGAGUUCAGUCUCUCCAUUGCCUUUAGAAUAUUGAGACCUGCCUGAAUACACCCAAAAAGAGAGAUGAUGUUACAUUAGUUUAAUGUUAGAUAGCUCUAAAUAAAAUAUUACAUUCAGAUGGAGACAAUGUUGCAAUGCCAUGUUGUGGAAAAGCAACAUUUUUUAAUAUUAGACAGUGAUAAUGAUAACGUUUCCAGAAUAUCUGCAACAUAGAAGCUUACAGGACAGAACUAAAAGCUAAGCAAACACAUAAAAUAAGCAGAAAUGCCUUGACUUUUCAACUAUAGUAACAUGCAAAGUUAUCCAUAUGGAACAUGGAAAGAUGAAAAGAAAACAACACAAAACAAAACUGAUGGGUAAACAGUCUAUGUCCAUUUACCAGAAAAAAGUUGGCCAAGAAUUGAGAUGAUGAAACAGAGCUGCUGUGAUGAACAAGUGGCAAUGGUGAAUGUGGAGCUUGGUUUGAUAAUAUAGAGAGGAAAGUUGUAUGGGGGUCGUCUAGAAAACAAAAGGUAAUGAGAAUGUCUGCAGAUAAGGAAUAACAGGUUGUCCAAAUCUAGAAGGUCUCUUUGGGUUUCCCAAACAUGAAAGCAAAGGAUAAAAGACUAGUAAGAAUGACUCAAACGACACAGUGAAGUAGUGGUCAGUGUCUGAAGUCUGAACCAAAAACAAAGAUGGUUCCCUUCACCUUGAAUGAAUGACCGACCAUUGAUGAAAUGUCAAAGGGAUGUGGAGAGAAAGACAAGCAGCUAGACGUUGAAACCAAUGAGGACAAAGAGAUAAAACAGAACACAUUAGAAAACUAACAGAAAGAAAGCAGAACAUUCCUUCCUCAAACUGAGGUGAAAGUAACAGACAAGUCAAAGAUGAAAAAAAAAACCAGCAAUGUGAGCUGAAACUAAACCAUACGUUUAACUUUCUUUCUUUGUGUAACAAGCAAGGAGAGAAUGUAGAAGUAGAAGUAGAAGGAGAGACAAAAGCAGAGAAAGGUGGGGUCUUUAUUGUCCUUCUUUCUCUCUUUAUGUUUUCAAAAAAGAUCACCUUUUUCAAGCAAGUGAGUUAGAGAAGAAGGCUGAGAGGUAGUUCCCCUGGCUUCUUUUGCUGCUGCUGCUGCUGUUGGUAAACGAGAACAAGUAGCAGUAUUGCAGUAAGUUAGCUUCUUUGCUGCUGCUGCUGCUGCUGCUGUUGGUAAACGAGAACAAGUAGCAGUAUUGCAGUAAGUUAGCGUGGAAAGAAAAGAAGUGAAGGGACAAAGAGAACAAACGAGGGGAGUGGGUUAUUAUAUAGAGAGAGGGCCAAAAAGCUGGAAAGGAAGAAGCUUUCUGAAUUUUGAGAGGCUUUGGCCGUAUGGGUUUGGAAGAAGAAGAAGAGGGGACAUGCUUCUCUUCCCUGACACAACAAUCAUGCAUUUUCUUUUCUGUAAGCAAGGGAAGGCGGCCGGCUAAACUUAAUGCCAGCCAAAAGAAAACUGUAAAAUUCAAUGUUAAAACUUUUUAAUUCAAUAUUUUCUUCUGAAUGAUGGUGAUGAUGAAGGAAAGGGGGGUAUGAGGUCAUGUGAAUGAUGAUGGGUAUGGAAGAGGGGCAUUUUGGUCACAUUAGCUGCCAUUAUUGACAUUUAGAGGGACAAUUAUGAGGAGUUUUGGCCUCUCUGCGUAAAAAAAAUAAAAUGAUGGGGGGGUGGGCUAAAGGGGCCGUCCCCCAAAGAUUCGCAAUGAUGGUCUGGAUUGGUUCGAACGUCGAACCAUCAUCACCACACACAAUUACACACUUGCUUCAACCCCUUCCUCUUCACCAUCUUCUUAUUGUGAUUAUGAUGACUACAAUUUUGGACCCUUUGGCCUUCCCACUUUCCCCUAUUAUUUCUUGGUUUGGUAACUGUUGGCUUGUAAUUAUGAUUUCUUCUUUUUGCCGUAAUAAGUUAUAUUUUUAACUAUUUUGAAGGGUACCAAAAGGCACUGUAGCUCACUCACUACUAGAGGAGAGGUACGUCAAUAUCCUCAAUGCAUUAUUGGGUUUCUCCUCUAAAUACAACUUCAAUGUGGUUUAAUGCUGAAUGUUAUUAGUUUUGAUGUCGGAAUCUAUCAUAUUGGAACUUAGGAUUCUUAUUCCAAUGUCGGUGGUUUUACAUAAUUUGUGCACUACUUGAGUUGAGUCUAGCUACAAACACGAGUCUCGUUCUGUCACAUGCAUGCUUUCUAUACGUAGAUGGUGGCCAUACCAUAGUUAAUGCCCUUCAGCAGCAGCUUUCUAAAUCAUGAUAUGGCGUUUUGUUUUGAAGUUAUUAGUAGCAACAAUCAUAAUAACUUGGUAAUAAUAAGCCAUGGCAUCAUAAGUUAAAACAGCUAGCAUUUUGAAACAAGUGGGGAGGAGAUGCAGAUGAUGAAUUACUAAAGAGGGGGGGCCUCAACGUGAAACAUCAUGGCUUUCCCUCCUACGCCAGACUGUGCCUUGUAAUUUUUUGCACGGUGCUCUGUUUUUUUUCCUAAAAAAUCCUCAAGAGAAAAAGGGCAAAUUCGUCAUUUAAAAUUUAUAGGGUACCCCCUCGUGGAGCUCGUUCACACAAACUGGGAAGUGACGAAUUGCUAUGAAUUUGAAAAUGCAGGGAGAGGGGAUUUUUGAUGAGGUGUUGUUUGUUUAUUAACAUUAAUUAACAUUCUUUUUUGUAGAUUUUUGUUUUCUUGUAUGUAUAUGUUUCUCUGUGUGCAGGAAAAAGUAAAACCAAACAGACAUAUUAACUGCUGAGAUGAUGAUUGCUUCUGCAAACACUAUCAUAAAUACGAAAAAUAGUGGGUUGAGCUUUCCUCAUUUUAUGCCUAGCUGAGCUGCUAAUUGAGUCUCUUGAAUGGACUCGAGACAGCUAAGCUAUAUGGAGCUUGCUUUCCUUUUUCUAACUUUUCGUUGUGGUUUGAAAUGGGUUUUGUGUUAGUGAUUUAAAUAUUGAUUAAGAAACACUAAUAUAAUUAGUUUGUCACCAUCUUAGUUAAUUAAAAGCUUUUAGGGUGGGAAUGUUUGCAACAAAAGGGACAUAGGAUGGACCAUCUAAUGUGGGUUCUGCAUGCUCUUUCUUUGUCUACUUCUUAUUCUUUUUUGUAGGCACUUUCAACACUAUUUAGCUAGAUGACUAAUCAAGCUCCCUAAGUCCAAUGAGCAUGGUGAAUAAUCACAAUGCCUACAAGAGGAUGAUGUAAGAGCACUUGGUCCGGACAAGCGUGCGCUUCAGACGUCUUUUCCUGAUACAAGGUAUCGCGUGAGAGAUACCAAAAAUAGCGCACCAACUUCCUGUUGCAUGCCACUUCCGGUACGAUUCUACUAUAGGUAACUCUCGUUUGUGGAGAAUAUGUGAUACGAUAUUACCACAAAUCAUUCCACCAAUUGUUUCCUCUAAAUUUUUGUAUUCAUUUGCACACAUGAUGUGGGAUACUCAGAUUUGUCUCAUAGAUUAGGGUGAACAAUGACACCCAUAAAAGUAAAACUAGAAAGUAGUUUUGAAGGGGCGGUUGGUCCCAAGGUGACAAGGAAGUUUAAGUAAUUGAGAGUUUCCCAGUUUUGUUUCUUUCACGAGUAGUUUGUUUCUAGUUCCAGACAGGUUAGUAUUUGCAAUGAGUAUUUUGCCAUUUUUACAAUUUAUAUUUAUAUAUAUGCAUAAUGAUCAUCAAUUAUGGCUGUGCUAUUUCACCC
rnacentral:lncRNA from 1 species